rnacentral:lncRNA from 1 species
AAAAAAAUAGAAAUGCUUUUUGUUUGUUUUAUAAGAAUAGAGACAGAGUUUUGCUUUGUUGCCUAGGCUGGUUUUGAACUCCUGGCUUCAAGAGAUCCUCCCGCCUCAGCCCCACUAAGUGUUGGGAUUACGGGUAUGAGCCACUGCCCCUGGCCAAAAAAAGUUUUACAGUCAGAAGGAAAACAAAAGGAAUCUGGAUCUACACAAGGAAUGAAGAGUACUGGAAAGGUGAAAACUCCAAAGCUUAACAUUCUAACCACUCUAGGGAGGGAGGAUGGGAGGAAGAGAGCUGAGUGUGCACCAAGGAGCGGUAAGAUGCCAGACCUGUGAGUGAAGAAGCAUCUUGGAAGUGGACCCUAUAGCUCCAGGCACCUGCUGACACAUAGUCGGAGACAAACCACCCAGUCAAGUUCAACCCAAAUUCCUGACCCAAAAAAUCAUAAGCAAAAUAAAAUAUUUGUUUAAAGCCAC